rnacentral:rRNA from 1 species
GACGAACGCUGGCGGCGUGCUUAACACAUGCAAGUCGAACGGAAAGGCCCUGCUUUUGUGGGGUGCUCGAGUGGCGAACGGGUGAGUAACACGUGAGUAACCUGCCCUUGACUUUGGGAUAACUUCAGGAAACUGGGGCUAAUACCGGAUAGGAGCUCCUGCUGCAUGGUGGGGGGUGGAAAGGUUCGGCGGUUGGGGGUGGACUCGCGGCUUAUCAGCUUGUUGGUGGGGUAGUGGCUUACCAAGGCUUUGACGGGUAGCCGGCCUGAGAGGGUGACCGGCCACAUUGGGACUGAGAUACGGCCCAGACUCCUACGGGAGGCAGCAGUGGGGAAUAUUGCGCAAUGGGCGGAAGCCUGAUGCAGCAACGCCGCGUGCGGGAUGACGGCCUUCGGGUUGUAAACCGCUUUCGCCUGUGACGAAGCGUGAGUGACGGUAAUGGGUAAAGAAGCACCGACUAACUACGUG